GGAGCUGACCGCGUAACCCUGAGCUCGCUGGGCUCAUAACCCAGAGGUCGCAGGUUCAAAUCCUGUCCCCGCUACU
rnacentral:tRNA from 1 species